GACGAACGCUGGCGGCGUGCUUAACACAUGCAAGUCGAACGGAAAGGCCCUGCUUUUGUGGGGUGCUCGAGUGGCGAACGGGUGAGUAACACGUGAGUAACAUGCCCUUGAAUUUGGGAUAAAUUCAGGAAACUGGGGCGAAUAUAGGGUAGGAGAUCCUGCUGCAUGGUGGGGGAUGGAAAGUUUCGGCGGUUGGGGAUGGACUCGAGGCUUAUGAGCUUGUUGGUGGGGUAGUGGCUUACCAAGGCUAUGACGGGUAGCCGGCCUGGGAGCGUGACCGGCCACAUUGGGACUGAGAUACGGCCCAGACUCCUACCGGACGCAGCAGUGGGGAGUAUUGCACAGUGGGCGGGAGCCUGUUGCAGCAACCCCGCGUGCGUGAUGACGGCCUUCGGGUUGUAAACCGCUUUCUCCUUUGACGAAGCGUGAUUGACGGUAAUUGGUAAAGAAGCACCGGCUAACUACGUG
rnacentral:rRNA from 1 species